UGUGAGAGCGGGCUUGCUCGCGAUGCAAGCGCUGCGGUCAAUCAGAUACACCGAGGCGAUGCUAUCGCGAGCAAGCCCGCUCCCACA
rnacentral:misc_RNA from 1 species